rnacentral:rRNA from 1 species
AUUGAACGCUGGCGGCAGGCUUAACACAUGCAAGUCGAGCGGUAGCACAGGGGAGCUUGCUCCCUGGGUGACGAGCGGCGGACGGAUGAGUAAUGUCUGGGAAACUGCCUGAUGGAGGGGGAUAACUACUGGAAACGGUAGCUAAUACCGCAUAACGUCGCAAGCCCAAAGAGGGGGACCUUCGGGCCUCUUGCCAUCAGAUGUGCCCAGAUGGGAUUAGCUAGUAGGUGGGGUAAUGGCUCACCUAGUCGACGAUCCCUAGCUGGUCUGAGAGGAUGACCAGCCACACUGGAACUGAGACACGGUCCAGACUCCUACGGGAGGCAGCAGUGGGGAAUAUUGCACAAUGGGCGCAAGCCUGAUGCAGCCAUGCCGCGUGUGUGAAGAAGGCCUUCGGGUUGUAAAGCACUUUCAGCGAGGAGGAAGGUGGUGAGCUUAAUACGUUCAUCAAUUGACGGUACUCGCAGAAGAAGCACCGGCUAACUCCGUG